rnacentral:rRNA from 1 species
UUGAACUGAAGAGUUUGAUCAUGGCUCAGAUUGAACGCUGGCGGCAGGCCUAACAC